rnacentral:lncRNA from 1 species
UUAGAGAUAUCUGAGAUGCAUGGGAGUAUGGUGAUUGAUACUCCUGCGAAGGGUUCAGUGACUACUACUUCAGUUUGUUUAAAUUCCCUUUGAGUAUUUUUGGUAGAGACUUGGGAUGGACCUCGUGUGUCUUCCACUAGUGCAGAUUGAUGUUAUCCUGGGUAUGAACUGGUUGGUGUUUAACCGAGUUUAUAUCAACUAUUUUGAUAAGACUGUGAUCUUUCCUGAGAUUGAGGAAGGAAAGAGUUUGUUU